rnacentral:misc_RNA from 1 species
UUGCUCAAAAGCUACACCAACAGGGAUUUUAUAUCACAAGUUCAAAUAAUUGUUUUAACUGACAUGACUUCCUGAACAGAACAGAAUUGUAUCUUCAUGCGGUCUUGGCUUUUGGAUGUGAUGGAAGUAACUGAUAGCAAGAAAUUAAAGAGCUAACAAAUCCAAAAGCUCCUGUUACACGAGGGGUAACUUUCUUCGGUGCCAAUUGAAGUAGCCCAACUGCAACUACAAUAUCCAUGGCUGCCUUAACCAAGGCCAGUGAUCUUUCAUUUGAUUUUUGAAGUUUAGCCCGGUAUUGUUCAUUUUGAUAUUUAUCACU